AUCGAUGAAGAACGCAGCGAAAUGCGAUAAGUAAUGUGAAUUGCAGAAUUCAGUGAAUCAUCGAAUCUUUGAACGCACAUUGCGCCCUCUGGUAUUCCGGGGGGCAUGCCUGUUCGAGCGUCAUUUUCACCCCUCAAGCUUAGCUUGGUAUUGGGUGCUCAUCAUUCUCCUUAGGGAGAGAGGUGUGCCCGAAAUUCAGCGGCGAUGCAGCCGAACUCCCUAGCGCAGUGACUACAAUUACAACGCUACAAGGAGGUUUCGACUUGUGUUUGCCGGACAACAACCAAAUUUUUUACGAUUGACCUCGGAUCAGGUAGGGAUACCCGCUGAACUUAAGCAUAUCAAUAAGCGGAGGAAAAGAAACCAACAGGGAUUGCCUCAGUAACGGCGAGUGAAGCGGCAACAGCUCAAAUUUGAAAUCUAGGUCCUAGCGACCUCGAGUUGUAAUUUGUAGAGGAUGUUUCGGGUGAGGUAUCGAUCUAAGUUCCUUGGAACAGGGCGUCAUAGAGGGUGAGAAUCCCGUAUGUGACCGAUAUCCAAUCCCAUGUGAAACUCCUUCGACGAGUCGAGUUGUUUGGGAAUGCAGCUCAAAAUGGGUGGUAAAUUUCAUCUAAAGCUAAAUACUGGCCAGAGACCGAUAGCGCACAAGUAGAGUGAUCGAAAGAUGAAAAGCACUUUGGAAAGAGAGUUAAAAAGUACGUGAAAUUGUUGAAAGGGAAGCGCUUGCAGCCAGACUCGCUCGGGGAUGAUCAACCUUCCUUUUGGAUGGUGCACUCUUCCUCGAUCGGGCCAGCAUCGGUUCGGUCGGCUGGAUAAAGGUUCUAGGAACGUAGCUCCUCUCGGGGAGUGUUAUAGCCUAGUUCGUAAUGCAGCCAGACUGGACCGAGGACCGCGCUUUUUGCUAGGAUGCUGGCGUAAUGGCUGUCAGCGACCCGUCUUGAAACACGG
rnacentral:rRNA from 1 species